UGUUUAGUGGGUUUGGUUCAGCCUUUGAAAUUUUGUUGGGGAGAUGUGGUGGUGGUGGUGGUAUCUCUUGGUGAGGCUGCAUAGGCGCGAAGCUGGCAUUUUGCGAGGUUAUGGGAUGUUGGGAUUGGAAAGAGGGCGAAGGUUGCCAUGUUAGUGGUGGUUGAUAAGCUCGAAGUUGGUUGGGCUUGGGUAAUAUGGUGGGUGCGGGUAAAAGGUAGUGUGAUGGAUGGUUUUGGGUGCUUGGGCCGCUUUCUUUUCCACAGCUUGGUUCACAUUAACUUCCACAGUGAUGGAGCACUAGUCUGGUGCGUGAUUGAGCUACUUUCCAUGGGAUCCACAAUGAAACGGUCUUUGCGGCUUGACCUGGUUGUUUGGCUUCGGGGGGCCGUUGCUUCGGCCUCUUCCCCUUCCUCC
rnacentral:lncRNA from 1 species